rnacentral:lncRNA from 1 species
UUUUUACUAAGUUAUUAGGCAAUUGAGACUGUAUUUUUCUGUUAAGAUGUUUAAAUUACAAUGUCCAUUGCUUUUAGGGUUCUUCCUUGGCAGGAAAAAUAUGCUUAAAAUGAUAACUAUACUUGUCUGAUAUCUUGUUUUUCAUUGGUAAGCUAAAAAAGCUGUUUAAGUAGGUAAAUUAGGUUUUAUAGAAAUGGGAUAAGCAUUGGUAAAUGUAUUGGAAAAAAACCUGAGUCAUGUGUAAGUUAAAAUUCUAAAUUGUCAGUCAUUAACUAUAGAUUAAAGUACUCUUGACAUCUUAAAUAUUUUAAAAUACAUAUUUGGGUCUAUUAAUAAAUGUGUUUUUAUAAAUUGUUGGUGUAUGAAAAAAAAGAAGUUUAGUAUUGCUUUGUAAAGUCCCCUAAAAUUAAUUUCAUCUAAAGUUCUGUUCAAAAGGAUAAAUUUUUGGCAUAAACAAUAUUACAAUUCCAAAAUUGAUAUAAUAUAAAAUUAAGUAUGAAUUUGGGUGAGUAUAAUAGGGAUUUGAAAGUUGUAAAAGGAUUUUUAAAAGGAAAUAGAACUUGUAAAAGAUUUUAUGUGUGACUGAGUUGACAAAGUAUGGAUUUUUGUGUAGGCUAAACAGUCAUAUAAGGUACUUUAAUGUUACAAAAUUAUGUUUUUUGGUUCAGAAAUAUUAUACAAACUGAAUAUUUAUUAUUAAUUUUAUUUUGUAUUUUCUUUGUGAAAUUGUUGCCUGGUAGCAGUUUGCAGAAGUAAAAUUUCCAACAGAAUAACCUGAGGUAUUUUGAGACAGUGAGUCAUCACCUACAUGACACUGAUAUGAACUGACUCCCCAAACUAAUACUGACCCUGAGGUAAUGGAAGGUGUAACUGUAAAAUGGCAAAUGUUAAAUUAAAACCUACUACUCCCAGUUCAUGACUGGUAGAACUGACCUCCCAGGUAUUCAACAACUGAGACAUGGAGCUGAAAGCCAAGGAAAACAACAGAGCUAAGGAAAAAUAGCCAACAUUUGGGUCUUCUCUUCCAAGGUCUUUUAGGACCUGAGGAACUAUGGGACCCCCCUAAGGGCCUGUCACUUUGGUGAAUCACCUGACCUACUGCACAGGGGGAUUUGAGAACAGGAAGCCAAUCAGUGUAUGUUCUGCAUAGAGGAGGGUCGUUGGAAAGGAAAAUAUCCCUAAAACUUCCAAGGUAAGCCACAUGGUCAGCAGGUCCCUGACCCAUACUGACAGAUGGCCCAACUAGAAGAAGAAAAAGACUGAAGGAACCAGGAGACCUUCACAAGUUCCUAAAAGUAACUCCCAGGGAGUCUCAGGUGACCUUAAUAGUAGAACAGAAAAUGGUUAAUUUUUGACCAACACAGGGGUCAUGUAUGUGAUCUUGAAUGCCCAACAUGGAAGUAUAACUGAAGACAAAUAUACUCACAUAAGGGAAGAAGAAAAGUGAAAGGACGGUUAUGUAGGCAUGAACAUUUAAAAGGAAAAAGACAAGGUCCUUGUAAAUAUAACUUUAGAUGUACACUUAUGCCAGCCCUACAAAAGUCAAAAAGAUUCUGAUGUAUGAUAUGUGAUAAUAACUAUCAAAAGAGACUGUGUUGAAAUUACAAGUUUAUUCUGAGUUAGCUUGAUUCCGAUUUAAUAGAACUGCUAUUAAAAAAUUCCAAAUCUUGAGAUGUAUAAAGAUGUAAAAGGUAUAGGUUUACUUGUCUAAAUUCAGACGGUUGUUACCACUAUUAGGACCUUUGGUUAUUGCUUUAGUCAGAUUUUUCACUGCUGUGACCAAAAAUCCAACAAGAACAAUAUUAAGGAGGAAAAGUUUAUUUUGUGGCUCAUGGUUUCAGAGGUCUCAGUCCAUACAUAGCUGGCUCCAUUCCUAGGGUCUCUAGGUGAGGUUCAACCUCAUAGUGGAAGAGUGUAGUGGAGGAAAGCAGCUCAGGACAUGAUCAGGAAGCAGAAGGAAAGAGCUCUGCUCAACAAGGACAAAAUACAAACCCCAUAGGCGUGUCCCCAGGAACCUUCCUCCACACCCUUCCAUCUUGAUGUCCUGCCUCACCUCAGACACAGAGUGAUGGAGUCAGCCAUCUAUGGACUGAGAUCUCUGAAAUUAUGAGCGCCAAAGAAACCUUCCUCCUCUAAAAUUAUUGUCAGGUCUUUUGAUCACAUCAGUCAAAAAACUGACUAAAAUUUAAAUUGGUAUCAAGAAGUGGGGUUGUUGCUGGACUAACCUGACCAUGUGGUUCAGAAGCUUUUGGAGCUUUUUAAAAUUUGGGAAGAAAUUCUGAAAAGUUUAGAGAUUUAAAUCUGGAAAAGUUUUAGAUUGUUGUAAGCAGAGCUUCGUGAGUGACUGUAGUGAGAGCUGGGAAGACCAGAGUGCCAAUAGGACUGUGAACGGUGAAGUCUGAGCUCAUGAGUUUUCAGAGCAGGAGGAGGACUCUAUUGGACAUUGGACUAAAGGUCAUUUGUGUUAUGUUCUGGCUAAGGAGUUGUCUAUAAUUUGUACAUGUCCUGAGGCUUUCUGUUAGACUGAAUUUAAAGGUGAUGGAGUAAUUAAUAUGGUGGAGAAAAUUGUAAGACAGUACAGCCUUCAGGACACCUCCUGAAGGUAUCCUGGAUGUUGCUGGCAUCUUUUAGCCAAGUUUAUUCUAAUAAUUAGGAGCAGAAAGCAAAGCAGAAAAUUUGAAGAACUUGUAGUUUGGCCAGAAAACUGUGAGUAGCCACGGGCUAGGGAAGGUGUGGUAGUUAAAAGAUAUUACAGCCACUAAAGAAACAUUAAUUACUUUACCUAGGAACAAUGGGAAAGAUGAAUUGAGGGGAUUUCAGGAAUCUGUAGAACCUUACCCAUCUCAGGCUCAAAGGUGUAAAAAUAAAAAUUCCCUUAAGCAGAGACCAGUGAGGCGUACUUACACAGAGGCGCUUAGGAAGUUGUUUCACCUUGCUCAGCCAUCCAGGUACUCAGAGGUUGCUGCGAUGAGGGCCCCAGGAGGCUUGACUACUGCUUGAGGAGGUGGCAGACCUUGGCAUCAACCAUGUGGUGUUGUUUCUGCAGGGAUCCAGGACAUUGGAAUUAGGGGGUCAUGGAGGCUUCCACCAAGAUUUCAAAGCAAGUCCUGGGAUGCCAGGCAAAGUGCAAGAGAGUCAGAGUCCCUGCAGGUAGCUCCUGAAAAGGCAAUGUAUGGAGCUAUGAGAAGGAAGCCAAAGCUGCAUUUGGGACUACCAAGAUUAAGAAAUGCCAGUAAUGUGGAAAUAUGCAGGAAUCAAGCAGAAACAAGUCAAGAGAGGCCAUGUGGGCUGCAACCAUCAAGGCCAUAGGGGCAGAGCUACACAAGCCUUUGAAGAAAACCUCAUGAAUCCAUGUGCUUCAGAUAGGGAAGCUAUAGAACUUGUUUGCCCAGCUGGAUUUCAGUCUUGUUUUGGGCCUGUCUCUUCUUUCUAUGCUGCUGUUUCUCUCCGUGGAAAUGUUUACUGUGUGCAUUUUUAUAUUGCAUAUGUGUAACUUGUUUUUGGUUUUAAUAGGGGCUCAUGCUAAGAGUUUGCCUUGAGUCUCCGUGGAGACUUCGGAUUUGGACUUUUGGGUGAAUUUAGAACUGGUGAUAUUUUGGGACUCUUGAAAAUGAACUAAAGAUAUUUUUGCGCUGUGAGAUGAGCAUGAGCUUUUGGGGCCCAAGAGUGUAAUGUUAUGAUUUAGACAUUAGUGUUCCCCCAAAAGCUUAGAUGUGAGAAAAUACAAGAAAGUUUAUAUGUGAAAUGAUUGGGUUAUGAGAGUCUUAACCUAAUAACGCAUUAAUCCUCUGAUAGGAAUUAACUGGGUGGUAAUUGUUAGGAGGUAGUAUGGGCCUGGAGGAGGUGGUCACUGGGGGCGUGCCUUUGGAGUUUAUAUUUUGUCAUGGCAAGGAGAGCUCUCUCUCUGCUUCCUGGUAUCCAUGACCUGAGCUGUUUUAUCCUCCACACCCUUCUAUUAAGGCACAGAGCAAUGAAGUUGGCCAUCUAUGGACUAAAACCUCUGAAACUGUGAUUGACAAAUUUUUCCUUCUCUAAAAUUGUUCUUGUCAGGUCUUUUGGUCACAGCACUAAAAAAAGCUGACUACAACUGCCGCAGUCUGGCUGGGCACAAUCAGGAGCCACUUGUCAAAAGAAACUAACUUUAUUUUUAGAACCACACACGACAAACAAAAUAGUCUCUCAGGAAAAACCCUCAGAGCCUCAACUGCCACCACGGCUUUCCACAAGCCUCUCUCUCCCACACAAGCUUCUCUCCACCUCCCACAAUCCUCCUGCUCUUGAGGCCGAUUGGCUGGGUCACGUGGGCGGAGCCAAAAAAGUCCCCCAAUGAGCAGCUCCGUGGUCUGAAAGGGCAGGGAAACAGUCCAAUGAGCAUCACCGCAGAGGAGCCAAUCAGCUAGAUGUUGCUGGGGCCGAGGAGCC